rnacentral:rRNA from 1 species
AUGGCGGCAGCGCGCCAGCUCCACGGCCUCCUCCGCCUGCCGCCUCCCCGCCCCCUCCGCCCCGUCUUCGUGCCACCAACUCCCUGCCGCGCGCGCCCUCCCCUCGCCUCCCUGCGAGCUCCACAGCCACCACCUCCUCUCCCCAAGAAACGCCUCUCCAGCGCUUCCGAAGCCAAGAGCGAGACGGCGGCGGCGUUAGUGGGGGAGGAGGAGGAGGAGAAUGGAGCGACGGAGGAUGAGGCGCGGGGGGCGCAAGAAGGGGCGGAGGGAUACGUGGAGAGCGUUGGCGCCGGGGACCCGGCGGGCCCUCCGGCCCAUCACCUUGCGGUCCGCGCUGGUCUUGGGGACCCGGUGUUCUUCCUCCUGACCUUCGUCGCCGUCACGACAUCCGUUGCCUUCAUCAGCAUGGUAGCGGUGGCGAUUCCUACGAUGCUCGCUAUGAGGAGAGCUGCAAAUUCAUUUGCUCUGCUGGCUGAUGCAGCUCUGGAUGAGUUACCGAGCACGAUGACAGCUGUAAGACUCUCUGGCAUGGAAAUCAGUGAUUUCACCCUUGAACUUAGCGACUUGACCAAGUGA